GGGAUUACAGGUGUGAGCCACCGUGCCUGGCCUCUGCACACACUUUUAAAAAUAUCAAUCUUUUUCCUUACACAGGGUGAGAACUCUGUCUCGGUCGACGGGAAGUGCAGUGACUCCACGCUGCUGAGCAACUUGUUAGAAGAGAUGAAGGUGACGCUGGCCAAGUGUUGAGAGCUGCCUCAAGCCCCGCCCCCCCGCGGAGCACACACCCAGGGACCGCAGCCCUGACAUGUCUCGCCUCUCCUCGGUCGUGUGUACUGUACGCAAGCCUGAGUGUUAAUUUAACUCCAUGUUGUCCGCCCGCCGUGUAGACGUCCGAGGUCGUACAUUGCGUUGAAUUAUCCGACCAUCCUUUUUUACUGUGACUCUUCCCACUCUCUUUGGCAAGAAGUCCCCUUCACGUCCCCAAACCAGCAAGGGACUCCCCCACCUGGGUCCGUGCCCUGCCCCAUGCUGGAGGCCGAGUCCUUGAAUGUGGCUUCAGGGGCUCCUGUCCUGGGCCAGGGCCCGAUGGGCACCACAUGAGGGGCACUUGGUGGACAGGGCGGGGCUGACGUGGCCUCCUCUGGGGUCACCUGGUUUUGUCCCAAAGGUCCUGACAGUGGCGUCCGGGGGAGGGCAAGGAAGGACCGCUGUCGCCAAGGUUUUCUCUCCCAGAACCCACAGUGGGAAAGCGGUUUUGCUGGGCGUUGUCCAUCGUCAGUGUGCUCGUGGGCUGGUGGCUGGGCCCUGGGAUCCCAGGCCACGCGCCAGCCAGGCUGUGGGCAGGGAGGGGCCAGGGACGCCGAAGAGAGGUUGCAGUCAGAACCAUGGACCGGGCGGAUGAGGCCUCUGCCACCAUUAUUCCCAGUCAGCAGAAGUGCAUCUCGACGGGCUUAGGUUUGGGGUGGGGGUGUGUGGUCACGUCCCCUGCUUGCCACUGUGCGCACCAAGGUUUCCCCACGUCCUUCCCCACACUGUUAGGAAGGCCCAGCAGGGCCUGGAAGCGCCCGACCCGGGCUGUUCUCCUGUAUUGAAGGAGUGUGCCCAGUGCCCUUGGGCAGGACCUGUGAGAGCCCCCACCAGGCAGGGCAAGGGGACUCCGCUCAAUCCCCACGGCCAGCGUGGGCACAGGACUGACUCUUCCUCAGAGAUAAUGACAUUUUAUCUUUUCCUUUUGAUGAAAACUGUCACUUUAGCAUGUAAUCUAUUACAGAAUCCCGUGCAGUGAUUCUAGGAUCUGAAAUUAUAUGAUGUUACAUAAGAAUUUAUUUGCUAUCGACAUUCCCGUAUAAAGAAGAGAGAGACAUAUCACGCUGCUGUCAUGAUUUUGUGUCAAGAUGAUCCAAUAAAGUUGUAAAACAGGCAUUUC